CACGCCGGGGAGGCGCCGUGCACCCAAUCGGAGGCCAAUAUAGGUAGCGGCGCAGCCAUUCAGCGUGCAGGCCGUGGGGCUGGCCCGAGCGGCGAAUCAGAGAGCGGGGCCCCUGGGAGCCAACGAGCCGGCCCAGUUGGCGUCCAAUCCGGGGCGAGCGCAGGUAGGCGCCUAGCCAAUCAGAGAAGGGGAGGGUUCCAGCACAGAACAGGGAGCAUAACAGCCAAUCAGAAGGUGAGGCUGCCUCAGCUGGUGGGCAGGGCGGGCCAAUCAGGUGCUGGCUUUGGGGGCGUGUUGAACUUUGGUGGGAGCUUUGGUUCGGCUGGGACCUGCGCCCUGAAUGAAGGCUUCCCUGGUACCCCGUGCCGAUCUGCGGUCUUGGGGACCUGCGCGUCCGACAGCGCGUGCUCGAAGAGGAGAGGCAACCUCAGCCCCAAGGGGUUUGAACCGACCCACUUUCAGUUACGAGUAAACUGAGACCAGAGAGCAGAGGGGGCUUAUUUCCCUCUGCCCCAUACUGGCCGGCGAAAGGGCAAGUCACACAGACCUUUUUGUCAAGUGUGUGGGGCGGGGCGCGCAGUAGGCGCCCUAAACGCUGGACUGAACAGAGAAGCUUAACUGAUACUUAAGAGUGGAAGCUUAGCUACAGUUAAGGACUUCUUCCUCUUUUCAUUCAUUUAACAAAGAUUUAUUGAUUCAGUCACGUCUAUGCUACUUGAUGAGGCGUCUUGGGAGCAUUUCAAACAAGAAGUCGGUUUUCCACCUACCCCUCAGUUUUCCCAAGACAUUCCUGCGUGAACAGCCACACCUUCCCACCCGCCUUCACCUCUCCUACCCGACUCUGUCUCUGGCUGGAUUGGAUUACAGUCCAGAUGGAUGAACCUCCAAAACAUGCUUCUACCUGAAAGAAGCCCAGCACAAAGGCCGCCUAUUGGAUGAUUCCAUUUACGGCAAAUGCCCAGAAAAGGCAAGUCUACACAGAGAGUAGCUUGAUGCUGCCCUGGGACUGGGGAAUUUACUACAAGUGGGCAUCACAGGGUGAUGGCAAUGUUCUCAAACCAUACUGAGGUAAUUGGUACACACCUCUGUAAAUUUAUUUAAAACAUUAAAGCAUGUGAAUCUA